AUUUAUAUAGUUUAAAAUAAAACUUUACAUUUUCGUUGUAAAUAUAAGAAAUCUAUCUUUAUAAAUU
rnacentral:tRNA from 1 species